GAUGAACGCUGGCGGCGUGCCUAAUACAUGCAAGUCGAGCGAACAGACGAGAAGCUUGCUUCUCUGACGUUAGCGGCGGACGGGUGAGUAACACGUAGGUAACCUACCUAUAAGACUGGGAUAACUUCGGGAAACCGUAGCUAAUACCGGAUAAUAUUUUGAACCGCAUGGUUCAAUAGUGAAAGAUGGCUUUGCUAUCACUUAUAGAUGGACCUGCGCCGGAUUAGCUAGUUGGUAAGGUAACGGCUUACCAAGGCAACGAUACGUAGCCGACCUGAGAGGGUGAUCGGCCACACUGGAACUGAGACACGGUCCAGACUCCUACGGGAGGCAGCAGUAGGGAAUCUUCCGCAAUGGGCGAAAGCCUGACGGAGCAACGCCGCGUGAGUGAUGAAGGUCUUCGGAUCGUAAAACUCUGUUAUUAGGGAAGAACAAAUGUGUAAGUAACUGUGCACAUCUUGACGGUACCUAAUCAGAAAGCCACGGCUAACUACGUG
rnacentral:rRNA from 1 species